rnacentral:rRNA from 1 species
GUAGCUAACGCGUUAAGUACUCUGCCUGGGGAGUAUGCUCGCAAGAGUGAAACUCGAAGGAAUUGACGGGGACCCGCACAAGAGGUGGAACAUGUGGUUUAAUUCGAUGCAACGCGAAGAACCUUACCUGGACUUGACAUUUUUGGAAUUCUUUUGAAAGAGAGAAGUGCCCUUCGGGGAGCCUUAAAACAGGUGCUGCAUGGUUGUCGUCAGCUCGUGUCGUGAGAUGUUGGGUUAAGUCCCGCAACGAGCGCAACCCCUAUUGUUAGUUGCCAUCAUUAAGUUGGGCACUCUAGCAAGACUGCCAGUGACAAACUGGAGGAAGGUGGGGAUGACGUCAAAUCAGCAUGGCCCUUACGUCCAGGGCUACACACGUGUUACAAUGGAUGGUACAAAGAGUCGCCAACUAGUGAUAGUGAGCAAAUCUCAGAAAGCCAUUCUCAGUUCGGAUCGUAGUCUGCAACUCGACUACGUGAAGUCGGAAUCUCUAGUAAUCGCAGAUCAGCACGCUGCGGUGAAUGCGUUCCCGGGUCUUGUACACACCGCCCGUCACACCAUGGAAGUUCGUUCCGCCUGAAGUUACUUUUUAGUACCUAGGGCAGGAUGGAUGACUAGGGUGAAGUCGUAACAAGGUA